UACAGAGGGUGCGAGCGUUAAUCGGAAUUAUUGGGCGUAAAGCGCACGUAGGCGGUUUGUUAUGUCGGAUGUGAAAGCCCUUGGCUCAACUGAGGAAGUGCAUCCGAAACUGGCAAGCUAGAGUAUGUAAGAGGGUCGCGGAAUUCCCGGUGUAGAGGUGAAAUUCGUAGAUAUCGGGAGGAACACCGGUGGCGAAGGCGGCGACCUGGGACAAUACUGACGCUGAGGUGCGAAAGCGUGGGGAGCAAACAGG
rnacentral:rRNA from 1 species